rnacentral:rRNA from 1 species
UACAGAGGGCCCAAGCGUUGUUCGGAUUCAUUGGGCGUAAAGGGCGCGUAGGCGGCGCGGUAAGUCGGGUGUGAAAUCUCGGGGCUUAACUCCGAAACUGCAUUCGAUACUGCCGUGCUUGAGGACUGGAGAGGAGACUGGAAUUUACGGUGUAGCGGUGAAAUGCGUAGAUAUCGUAAGGAAGACCAGUGGCGAAGGCGGGUCUCUGGACAGUUCCUGACGCUGAGGCGCGAAGGCCAGGGGAGCAAACGGG